rnacentral:rRNA from 1 species
CCUACGGGUGGCAGCAGUGGGGAAUAUUGGGCAAUGGGCGCAAGCCUGACCCAGCAACGCCGCGUGAAGGAAGAAGGCUCUCGGGUUGUAAACUUCUUUUAUCAGGGACGAAGCAAGUGACGGUACCUGAUGAAUAAGCCACGGCUAACUACGUGACAGCAGCCGCGGUAAUACGUAGGUGGCAAGCGUUAUCCGGAUUUACUGGGUGUAAAGGGCGUGGAGGCGGGAAAGCAAGUCAGAUGUGAAAACCAUGGGCUCAACCUGUGGCCUGCUUUUGAAACCGUUGUUCUUGUGUACUGGAGAGGCAGACGGAAUUCCUAGUGUAGCGGUGAAGUGCGUAGAUAAUAGGAGGAACACCAGUGGCGAAGGCGGUCUGCUGGACAGCAACUGACGCUGAGGCGCGAAAGCGUGGGGAGCAAACAGGAUUAGAUACCCCAGUAGUC